GAUGAACGCUGGCGGCGUGCUUAACACAUGCAAGUCGAACGGGAUCCCAGGAGCUUGCUCCUGGGUGAGAGUGGCGAACGGGUGAGUAAUGCGUGACCGACCUGCCCCAUACACCGGAAUAGCUCCUGGAAACGGGUGGUAAUGCCGGAUGCUCCAGUUGGAUGCAUGUCCUUCUGGGAAAGAUUCAUCGGUAUGGGAUGGGGUCGCGUCCUAUCAGCUUGAUGGCGGGGUAACGGCCCACCAUGGCUUCGACGGGUAGCCGGCCUGAGAGGGCGACCGGCCACAUUGGGACUGAGAUACGGCCCAGACUCCUACGGGAGGCAGCAGUGGGGAAUAUUGCACAAUGGGCGCAAGCCUGAUGCAGCGACGCCGCGUGCGGGAUGACGGCCUUCGGGUUGUAAACCGCUUUUGACUGGGAGCAAGCCCUU
rnacentral:rRNA from 1 species